GCUGAAGUGGUGGAAUUGGUAGACACGUUGGACUUAAAAUCCAAUGUCCCCUGGGACGUACGGGUUCAAGUCCCGUCUUCAGUA
rnacentral:tRNA from 1 species